rnacentral:rRNA from 1 species
AUUGAACGCUGGCGGCAUGCUUUACACAUGCAAGUCGGACGGCAGCGGGGUAGUGCUUGCACUACUGCCGGCGAGUGGCGCACGGGUGAGUAAUAUAUUUGAACGUAUCGAGUAAUGGGGGAUAACCAAUCGAAAGAUUGGCUAAUACAGCAUACGCUCUGAGGAGGAAAGCAGGGGACCUUCGCGCCUCUCGUUCUUCUAGCUGCCAAUAUCUGAUUAGCUAGUUGGUGGGGUAAAGGCCUACCAAGGCGACGAUCAGUAGCGGGUCUGAGAGGAUGAUCCGCCACACUGGGACUGAGACACGGCCCAGACUCCUACGGGAGGCAGCAGUGGGGAAUUUUGGACAAUGGGCGCAAGCCUGAUCCAGCCAUGCCGCGUGUCUGAAGAAGGCCUUCGGGUUGUAAAGGACUUUUGUUAGGGAAGAAAAGGGAGCGGUUAAUACCCGUUUCUGCUGACGGUACCUAAAGAAUAAGCACCGGCUAACUACGUG